UACCAGCACCCCGAGUGGUCGGGACGAUUAUUGGGCCUAAAGCAUCCGUAGCCGGCCUUACAAGUCCUCCGUUAAAUCCAGCUGCUUAACAGAUGGGCUGCGGAGGAUACUAUAAGACUAGGAGGCAGGAGAGGCAAGCGGUACUCAGUGGGUAGGGGUAAAAUCCGUUGAUCCAUUGAAGACCACCAGUAGCGAAGGCGGCUUGCCAGAAUGCGCUCGACGGUGAGGGAUGAAAGCUGGGGGAGCAAACCGG
rnacentral:rRNA from 1 species